UACCCUAGAUAGAAAGUAUCAAUAAAUAUUUUUGUCAAAAAUGCAACUUUGCAAUUUUUACAGAUGUUUAAAGUCAGGUGAUUGAGCAGCUGAUUUUUGUGACAAAAUUGGCGGGAAAUUUUUAAUAACUUUGAGCGCUUGGCAAAUCUAAGCUAAACAAUAUUUUUCUAUUAUUUAAAAUGGAUAUUGAAGUUGGAGGAAAUCAAAAAGCUGACAAAAGUGUUCGUCUUCUGUAGAGGAAAAAAAGGUGUUCUGCGUAUUUGUGCGUUGUUUAAUAUGUGCUUGAAUUCUGUCACGCCACGUUGCUGGACGUGUGGAUGGACAGCGGGCGCCACUCUUCCGCGCUGGUUGAACUUGUAUUUGGUCAAAUAGAUGAAUGUACACUGAGUGACGACAAAAAAGAGAGCAAUAAAUUAAAAAAAAAAUUUAA